rnacentral:lncRNA from 1 species
UAAUAAUAGGAGUAAAAUGACUUCAUAGAGAAAAUUUUGGAGCUAAAAUAUUAGUAUGUUUAUAUGAUAGCAGAUUCACAGACAUAGAAUAGGGAUUAUUAGGAAGCAUAGAAUUAGAUAUGAAUAAUAAAGGCGAAAUAGUAUAUUUUAUACCAGACUACUUAAUAUGAUUCGGAGUGGGUCGCAUAGAAAUAAAUUUGGAAGAAAAUCUUUCCUUUCGCAAGAAGUUUUAUUUCCAUUAGAAUUUUAUCUUUUUUGGUAACUUUCAUGUUUUAGGAGAUUUAAUCACUUUUUUAAUUAUUCUCUCAAGUUUUAUUCUUUUUAAAACUAGUUCUAGGUUUUCACUAUAAAUAGGAUUUAUUCUCUACAAUUGUACCAAGACUUUUAUUAUGAAAAUUAGAGAAUUUUCUCUCGAAGCUUUUGCUUCAUUUAUCUUUGUUCUGGAUGGGACAACUCACUGAACUUAUCAGGAAUUGUUAAUUCUCGUAGCGUUCAAAAUCAUUGGGUGAGAAUUACAACACGUGCAAUCAAGGGGUCUUUUAAGCAACGCUGUUGCUGGGUUUUUUUGUUCACUGUUUUGGAAUUCAAAUCCACAAAUUCGAGUAUAAUUUCGAGGCUUUGUGAUCAAGAAGUUGUGGGUUUCAUAUACCUCUGAUUGCUUGGUUCAACGUUUGGAGAUUAGAUCCUAAACAUUGGUCGUAUUUUGACAUUCUUGGAAUUCGGUGUCAAUUCCUAUAGGUUCGAUUGCAACCUUGCUAACCGGUUAUGCAUCAUUUGGUAUUAGAGCUAAGGCACCAAGAUCGAGGUUAUAUCCCUUUUUUUUAUUUUUGUUGAGUCAGUUGUUAUUUUUCUUUAUUGUUUUUCGUGUUCUUCGAGUCAGUCAGUAGUUGUGAGUCUUUGAUCAAAAAAAUUUCAAAAGUUGUUUUUGGAUUCAAUUUGCGUCCAAAUCAACUUCCAUUUGUUGCAUCAGCGUCUUUUUUGAUUUUUCUAUCCUAAGAGUAAAAAAAUAUUUAUCUUUCAUUUCGUACAGUAUUGUUUAGUCCGUACGGUACAGGAAAAAA